rnacentral:rRNA from 1 species
GUGAGGAAUAUUGCGCAAUGGAGGCAACUCUGACGCAGCCAUGCCGCGUGCAGGAAGAAGGCGCUACGCGUUGUAAACUGCUUUUAACCGGGAAGAAACCCCAGGACGUGUCCUGGGUUGACGGUACCGGAGGAAUAAGCACCGGCUAACUUCGUGCCAGCAGCCGCGGUAAUACGAAGGGUGCAAGCGUUAUCCGGAUUCAUUGGGUUUAAAGGGUGCGUAGGCGGAGCGUUAAGUCAGUGGUGAAAUCCUGCAGCUUAACUGUAGACUUGCCAUUGAUACUGGGGCUCUUGAGUGCGCUUGAAGUGGGCGGAAUGUGCCGUGUAGCGGUAAAAUGCUUAGAUAUGGCACAGAACACCAAUUGCGAAGGCAGCUCACUAAGGCGAUACUGACGCUGAGGCACGAAAGCGUGGGGAUCGAACAGGAUUAGAAACCCGUGUAGUCC